ensembl:lncRNA
GUCCAAGCCAGAGGAGAGCAGCAAGGCUAAGGAAUGGACUGAUAUUGGAUCUGUAACAGACAUAAAGAGGAUGGGAUUUGCAGACAGAUGAGGAAACAGUCAGUGAGGACAAGGAACCUCGCUGAGGUCGCCCUGAUGCAACUAAGCCCCCGCACUCCAGCUACUGAGCCUGUGCUCUAGAGCCCAGGAGCCGCAACUACUGAAGCCGCCCUGGAGCCUGAGCGCCACGAGAGAAACCUCUGCAGGGAGAACGCCAUGCACCGCAGCUAGCAAGUAACCCCCGCUCCCUGCAGCAAGAGAAGAGCCUGUGCAGCAACGAAGACCCAGCACAGCCAAAAAUAAAGAAAUAAAGUUAAGAAAAUAAAGAAACCCCCUUCCAAUACAGGGACAUGGAUUCGAUUCCUGGUCGGGCAGCUAAGAUCCUGCCUGCCUCAAAGUGUGGCCAAAAAUUAAAAAAAAAAAAAGAGGUGGGAGUGGGAGGUGAGGGCAGUGGAGUCAGAUGGGGCUCAGGCGUCCCCAGGGCUGAGGGAGGAGAACCCUGGCCGGGCACGUCCCAGACACUUGGCAA